UCCAGAGAGCAGGGCUGGCCCCAUCCCUCUGCUCUCUAGAUGGAACAGUGGGGGCUGGCUUACUGCCCCCCCCCAAGGCAAACCCCGGCUGGGGUCUUGGGCCAGAAAGGGAGGUUAACCACCCCUUCCCCUGAGUUCGGAGCUGCCUUGUGGGGUUACUUACUGCUGGCUGCGACUGUGGACUACAAAUCCCAGAGGCAUCUGGACGCAGAAAGAGGAAGUGAUCCUGAGAGUCCUGCUCUUGUGGUAGUGGACUGCAAAUUCUAGAGACCUCAGGGCCAGCAGGAAGAGUGACAGAAUGGAUUACAAAUAUCCACCCCCACCCCUCAACAUGAAUUUGACAUUAGAAGUUUAUGUGUUCCCAGAACACUUACCAUACAUGCAGCUGCUAUUCACCCCUGGACCAGGGUUUUAGGAGAAAAAACUCAAGUGGACUGCGUACAUCAUUGAUGUGUCAUUUAAUAAUGUUAAAAGAGGAGCAAGUGAAAACACCAAUGUUACACAUGGAAAAAUCAUUGUUGCUGAUCAGGCAACCCAAGCAGUAGCAGCGGAAGAUGUGAAGAGGUCUGUAUAACUAUGUCACACACCGUUUAUUGCAAGUUGCAAAACUGGAUUUUCUUUCCCUUUAAAUUAUUAGCAGCCUAAUUAUGGUUGAAUUUAUUUAGCUCAAUUAGGAAUUGAACUGAGAUACACAGAACUCAGACUGAACUAUAUGUAGAAUUCAUAAGGUUUAGUUAAAUCUUCAAAAGUUUAUUUUCUACAGCAGGCUAGAACUGCUCAUUUUUAAAGAAAAAUUGCUAUUGAAAUUGAAAUUAUAUGUUUUAAACAGGUCAGUUUUGAUGUAAAUUUCUGUUAAAAAAUUGUGAAAGGUUUUGUCUUGGUUUAGAAACCCUUGGUUUUGUUUUAGACAAUUCUAAAAUAUAAUUCCAGAAUUUUGUUUCAAUAUUAUUGUUCUUAUUGCUAAAUUUGUACAUUUCAUGACGUCAGAAGUGUAUAAUCAUUUAAACAUCCUAUUAUUUUUAUUUUAUUUUGUAAAUAAUUACUUGUACUUAUUAUGCAUUGAUUUAGAAAACGUAAGAUGUUUUAAAGUGUCUCCUGUCUGUGUAGUGAUAGAACAUUUGGUGUCAAACAGUUUCAUUAUCAUGCAGUCGGAGUUGCCAGAGAUACUCUAAUCUAGAAUAUGUUUCGGCAGUUUAGUUUUAAUCCUUUAAUCAUUUUAUGUCAUAGUUGUAUUUAACUCUAUGACUGACAUGUCAUGAAAUAAUAUAAAGGGAAAAUUCCAUAACUUAAAAAUUAAAAUUUCAAAACAAAAUUUUUCUAAAUGAACUCUUGGGGGAAUUUCCAUAUAAUGGGAAGCAGUGAAGAUAAAUAAUUAAAAACUCUAAUUCAGAAUUAGAAUAAUUUUUAAAUAACUGUAUUUUCUACAGUAUGGAAAUUCUAAGC